AUUGAACGCUGGCGGCAGGCUUAACACAUGCAAGUCGAGCGGUAACAGAGAGAAGCUUGCUUCUCUGCUGACGAGCGGCGGACGGGUGAGUAAUGCCUAGGAAUCUGCCUAGUAGUGGGGGAUAACUUGCCGAAAGGUAAGCUGAUACCGCAUACGUCCUACGGGAGAAAGGAGGGGACCUUCGGGCCUUUCGCUAUUAGAUGAGCCUAGGUCGGAUUAGUUAGUUGGUUAGGUAAUGGCUCACCAAGACCGCGAUCCGUAACUGGUCUGAGAGGAGGAUCAGUCGCACUGGAACUGAGACACGUUCCAGGCUCCUACGGGAGGCAGCAGUGGGGAAGAUUGGACAAUGGGGUGAACCCUUAUCCAGCCAUGCCGCGUGUGUGAAGAAGGUCUUAGGAUUGUAAAGCACUUUAAGUUGGGAGGAAGAGCAGUUAACUAAUAUUUGACUGUUUUGACGUUACCGACAGAAUAAGCACCGGCUAACUUCGUGCCAGCCGCCGCCGUAA
rnacentral:rRNA from 1 species